rnacentral:rRNA from 1 species
GAUGAACGCUGGCGGCGUGCCUAAUACAUGCAAGUCGAGCGAACAGACGAGGAGCUUGCUCCUCUGACGUUAGCGGCGGACGGGUGAGUAACACGUGGAUAACCUACCUAUAAGACUGGGAUAACUUCGGGAAACCGGAGCUAAUACCGGAUAAUAUAUUGAACCGCAUGGUUCAAUAGUGAAAGACGGUUUUGCUGUCACUUAUAGAUGGAUCCGCGCCGCAUUAGCUAGUUGGUAAGGUAACGGCUUACUAAGGCAACGAUGCGUAGCCGACCUGAGAGGGUGAUCGGCCACACUGGAACUGAGACACGGUCCAGACUCCUACGGGAGGCAGCAGUAGGGAAUCUUCUGCAAUGGGCGAAAGCCUGACGGAGCAACGCCGCGUGAGUGAUGAAGGUCUUCGGAUCGUAAAACUCUGUUAUUAGGGAAGAACAAAUGUGUAAGUAACUAUGCACGUCUUGACGGUACCUAAUCAGAAAGCCACGGCUAACUACGUG